UACAGAGGGUGCAAGCGUUAAUCGGAAUUACUGGGCGUAAAGCGUGCGUAGACGGUCAUGUAAGUCGGGUGUGAAAGCCCCGGGCUCAACCUGGGAAUUGCAUUCGAGACUGCAUGGCUAGGAUGCGGAAGAGGGAAGCGGAAUUUCCGGUGUAGCGGUGAAAUGCGUAGAUAUCGGAAGGAACACCAGUGGCGAAAGCGGCCUCCUGGUCCAGCAUCGACGUUCAGGCACGAAAGCGUGGGGAGCAAACAGG
rnacentral:rRNA from 1 species